rnacentral:lncRNA from 1 species
UUAAUAGAAGAUAUUUUCCAGGGUGUGAAAAUGCAGCUGAGCUAAUACUGUGUUCUUCUGGUCUUCUCAUGUUUUGUUGAAUUACAGGAAAAAUGCAGAAAAUAACAUGGUUUUCCCUCUUGAAAAAAACAUUUCUUAUGAGAGUGAAUGCACCAGGAGAUGGUCACCAAAUUGACAAUGUAUUUACUGAAGCAUGAAUUUCCAACCCAGUGAAACUCCUCUUCCCCCCGUGCUCAAGAGACUCUGGAAUAACACAAAGCGACAAUAUGCAUGGUGCAUAUGGAACUAACAAAUAUGCUGUGGAUUGUAAAUGAAGACAUAUGGUUCCUAAAGCCAGUGCAGGUAAGAGAAGAUUUUCUGUGUAAUGUCAAAACAGCAUGCAAGUCCAUUCACAUAAUGAACAUAUAAAUCUAGGACAUGAGAAAUCCCACUGUCGUGCCUUUAUAUGCACUUAUACACAGCCCAACUGUGCUAUUCUGACAAUAAUGUGAACAUGUGUUUCCGAGUUCUACACAUUUUUUUCUCCUCAUUCUUCUGGAAAGUGGUUUAGAAAUUUGCACUCUGCUGAAAUUUGUGUGUUUUAACCAACCAUCUGUUUAUAAUUGUCUAGCUUUUUAAUAGUUAUUGCAUGCUUAUUCUUCCAGUUGUUGUUUUCCUAUGCACAUUCUUUGAUGCCAAGGCUGUAACAGUAGAAAGGGAACAAAUCAGGUUCUUGAACACAGCUGUGCGGUGCCCUUCAUGUCCUGCUCCAAAAGUGC